UUUUUUUUUGGUUUUUUUUUGGACGUUAGUUU
rnacentral:sRNA from 1 species